rnacentral:rRNA from 1 species
AAAAAAGUGAGUUCCCUGCCUCUAUGUCGAGCGGCUCUUAGAAAAAGAAAAGAUUCUUCUGAAAAAAAUUAACUCUCAACCGGAGCAGCACCGCGCCGCCGCCCCUCCCCACGUCUCUGGCCCCGCGACCCGACGAACGCCGACCAGAGGACCGCGAGAGGGCGAAGGGGCAGCGCACGACCCGGACAUCCGGCAAUCGGCCUCGGCUGGUCGCCUCGCCCAGCCCAAUCGUCAUCAGCAGCCAUGGCGGCGCCUGAAUCCGGCAGCCACGGCCUCAAAAGAGCACACGCCGGCAGGUGGAACACUUCACGCCUCCACGGCUCCUCCGCUAUUGCGCCGGCGAUUAGCACCGACCGUAGCAUCAGUGCAUCAGCAUACGGUACUCAGUAGGCAGCAGCACCGUUACAAAAAUAAAGAACAAGUCGGGUGAUUGAAACAUUUCUGCACCCAUUCCUUGCUUACAAAAGAAAUAUAAUGGAGUUAAACUCUUCUGCAGGUGUUAUGUCAAGAUAUCACCAUGGCAAGAUCCCCUUUGCUGCUAACCAGGAGGCAGGAACUUGAGAAUUGUUUCAGAACUAUGAAGUGAGAGCACUCUGAAGUUUGAUGUGCACUUGACGCUUGAUCAUUGCACUUCCCCUGAUGAGUUCGGAUCUGAUUCUGCUCAUUGUGAUGUAGCCCCAGCAUGUAGAAGCCACAACAUCUACACUGAUGUUCGUAAAUUUCCUUCUUGGUUUAUCUCCUGUGUAAGUUCCUGCAAAUUGGUAGAGGGCGCAGUGCGCCGACUCAUGGUCUUGCUGCCC